GACUAGUAAAGUAUACAGUGACUAUAGAUGGAAGGUCCUAGGCUAGAAGAAUAAUUGAAAAAACAUGAGAUUGAGCGUGUAUUAUAAACCAGUUUAUCAAAGUCAAAUCUGUUAGAAUUAACGGUCGUAAUUCCGUAAAUUGACGCAGCUGAAGUGAGCUUGUACGAAUAAAAAGUUGGUCUAUUUACUGCAUACUGAUCUCAACGGAUGAUACGGCGAAAUUAUAAAGAUUUAUACACAAAUCAAAUAGGUUAAUAAAGAAGGAGGAAAAUACCGUUGAAAAGGCCGCGGAGAAACAAAAAGAGGGAAAAGUAGGUGUGAGCACGAGAUUGGAAAAAAGAAACUACUUUUUUGAGCUGAUCAUAAAAACCGACUGUUUCAAAAUUACUUUCUGCAUCCGCAACAAACUCAAAAAAGUAAUGAGUCAGACGGAUCUAACCUCAAAUCACUCUAAUCAGGAGGAACUGGAUUUUACGCUUACGGCCUGUGCGGCUUGUAAAAAUACCUCAACGGAGAAUGAGCCAAGGAUAGGAUGCGAUUCGUGUUAUGACUGGUUUCACUAUCGAUGUGUGAAUGUGACGGAACCCGUUAGAAGGAAAAACGGUGGUUCUGCAAGGCGACCGCUUACCAAGAGGCGGCCAAAAAGUAUCAGAAAAAAGCAGAUACCUAGAAAAAGAAGUCAGAUACGGUUCCUACACUGGAACAGUAGUUAAAGGCUAUAGAAGAGGAGUAUAAGAAGAGAUUGGAGGAAUUGGACAUGUAGAGGAUCGUGAAGGAAAGGGAAAUGCAGUUUGAAUUGGAGCUGAAGGAAAAACAGAUGCAGCAGGAACAGGAAUUAAAAGAGCAGGAAUUGGAUCGAGAGAAAAAGAUGCUGAGUCGUGCUCUAGCGGACAAAGCAAAUUAGCUCCGGCGAAUGAAGUGUAUUCGUGACGAGUAUGAAGAGGAAGUAAAUAUUAUGGAUGAGAACGCUCGAGAGCUAGGAUUGCAUUUUCCGGUUUCAGUCUCCACGUCGGCAGGAGACGCGUGAAAAAGUGGAUAGUCCUGUUUACCUGUAUGAGCAUCAGAGCGGUUCAUUUGGAAAUUGCGCAUUCUCUAUCGUCGCAAUCGUGCUUGAUGGCAAUCAAACGGUUCAUCUGUAGGCGUGGGUGUCCAGAGGAGUUCUUUUAGGAUAACGGGACGAAUUUCAAAGAAGUAAGUAAGGGGAUUCUGAAGCAGAUAAACAACGACUGUGCUGAAGCGUGCAUAAGCCCCACAACAAAGUGGAACUUCAAUCCACCCGGAACGCCGCACAUGGGCGGCAUCUGGAAACGUAUGGUAAGGUCGGUAGCUGUUUGCACGAGGUUGGAAAAAAGAAACUACUUUGUAAGCACAUGAAAACAAGAAAAUGAGUUGAUAACUAACAAAUAAUUAAAUGUUUCUAGUUUGAGCUGAUCAUAAAAACCGACUGCUUCAAAAUUACUUUUUGAAUCUGCAACACCAUUUAGCAUGACGAGAGAUUUCAUUCGGAGCAUAUUUCGU